rnacentral:rRNA from 1 species
ACAGGGAUUGCCCUAGUAACGGCGAGUGAAGCGGCAAAAGCUCAAAUUUGAAAUCUGGCUCUCUCAGAGUCCGAGUUGUAAUUUGUAGAGGAUGUUUCGGGCACCGCCCCAGGUUAAAUUUCUUGGAACAGAAUGUCAUAGAGGGUGAGAACCCCGUCUUGACCUGGUGGUAGGACUCAUGUGAAGCUCCUUCGACGAGUCGAGUUGUUUGGGAAUGCAGCUCAAAAUGGGUGGUAAAUUUCAUCUAAAGCUAAAUAUUGGCCAGAGACCGAUAGCGCACAAGUAGAGUGAUCGAAAGAUGAAAAGCACUUUGAAAAGAGAGUUAAACAGUAUGUGAAAUUGUUGAAAGGGAAGCGCUGGCAACCAGACUUGAGCGCGGCGGUUCCCCCUUGCUUCUGCUUGGGUUAUUCCGUCGUGUCCAGGCCAACAUCGGUUCUAGGGGUCGGUUAAAGACCUUGGGAAUGUAUCUACCCCUCGGGGUCGACUUAUAGCCCAGGGUGUCAUGCGGCCACCCGGGACCGAGGAACGCGCUUCGGCACGGAUGUUGGCGUAAUGGUUGUCAGCGGCCCGUCUUGAAACACGGACCAAGGAGUCUAACAUCUAUGCGAGUGUUAGGGUGUCAAACCCUUACGCGGAAUGAAAGUGAACGGAGGUAAGAAGCCUUUGGCUGCAUUAUCGACCGAUCCUGAAGUUUACGGAUGGAUUUGAGUAAGAGCAUAGCUGUUGGGACCCGAAAGAUGGUGAACUAUGCGUGAAUAGGGUGAAGCCAGAGGAAACUCUGGUGGAGGCUCGCAGCGGUUCUGACGUGCAAAUCGAUCGUCAAAUUUGCGUAUAGGGGCGAAAGACUAAUCGAACUAUCUGUAGCUGGUCCUGCA